CCUACGGGAGGCUGCAGUGAGGAAUAUUGGUCAAUGGACGAGAGUCUGAACCAGCCAAGUAGCGUGAAGGAUGACUGCCCUAUGGGUUGUAAACUUCUUUUAUAUGGGAAUAAAAUGUUCCACGUGUGGGAUUUUGUAUGUACCAUAUGAAUAAGGCUCGGCUAAAUCCGUGCCAACAGCCGCGGGAAUACGGAGGGUCCGAGCGUUUUCCGGAUUUUUUUGGUUUAAAGGGGUCGGAGGUGGAUUGGUAAGGCCGUUGUGAAAGUUUGCGGGUCAACCGUAAAAUUGCAGUUGAAACUGGCAGUCUUGAGUACAGUAGAGGUGGGCGGAAUGCGUGGUGUAGCGGUGAAAUGCUUAGAUAUCACGAAGAACUCCGAUUGCGAAGGCAGCUCACUGGACUGCAACUGACACUGAGGCUCGAAAGUGUGGGUAUCAAACAGGAUUAGAUACCCCUGUAGUC
rnacentral:rRNA from 1 species